AUUGAACGCUGGCGGCAGGCCUAACACAUGCAAGUCGAGCGGAGCGGCGGACGGGGGAGUAAUGCCUAUGACUCUGCCUGGUAGUGGGGGAUAACGUCCGGAACCGGGCGCUAAUACUGCAUCCUCUCAGCUUAGCCUAGGGCGGAUUAGCUAGUUGGAGGGGUAAAGGCCUACCCAGGCGACGAUCCGUAACCGGUCUGAGAGGAUGACCAGUCACACUGGAACUGAGACACGGUCCAGACUCCUACGGGAGGCAGCAGUGGGGAAUAUUGGACAAUGGGCGAAAGCCUGAUCCAGCCAUGCCGCGUGUGUGAAGAAGGUCUUCGGAUUGUAAAGUACUUUAAGUUGGGAGGCGUUACCAACAGAAUAAGCACCGGCUAACUCCGUGCCAGCAGCCGCGGUAAUUC
rnacentral:rRNA from 1 species